UCUUUUUGUCCUGUUCGCUCAUUUAGAAGGCUAUUAUGUGCUGCAGAGACUUGAAUACAGGUCAUCGGCCAAGGAAAUGGCACUGGUCAGCUGUUGCAAGGCGUCUUGUGUUCGAAUCUUUAAGAUCGUCAAGAUACAGCCAGGGCCCAUCUUGAAUAGAUGCCUUCAGAAUGAACCAGAUUUCCAUAGUCAGGCUUUCCAAGUGGAACUUGCAACACUUUAAUGCAGAUCCUUAAGUGGGACCACCUGCCUUGUGGAGAAGGCCUUAAUAAACAAGGUGUCAGAUUCUGCAAACUUAACUACAGAUGCACAGCCAAGAUCCCUUCUCACUACCGUGUCACACUGGCCUGUGUUUUUGAAGAGAUGCCAAUGUGUUACCAGGAAAAAAGAAGAUUGUUAUCAAGAUCUUUUUAAAGAUUAUCUGUAAUACUGCCAAACCCCCAGUGAGCUGCCUGAACGAAGUAUUCCUGACUUCUAUACUAGCUAAACAAGCACAUCCAGGGAAAUGCUGCAUGUAAAACAGUGGUAAUCUUCAGGUCACAUGCUAUCCAAACCCUUCUGCAGAAGUUGAGAUGAAGACUUGCUACCUCACUGGAGGAUAUAUUAAUGGCACGAAUAUAUCUUUAUAAAUUUGGAUUAUCUUUAAUGUGAUAUCUUAAUAAACUGUCAGAUUAUCAAA